rnacentral:rRNA from 1 species
UACGUAGGGGGCAAGCGUUGUCCGGAAUCAUUGGGCGUAAAGAGCGUGUAGGCGGCCCGGUAAGUCCGCUGUGAAAGUCCAGGGCUCAACCCUGGGAUGCCGGUGGAUACUGUCGGGCUCGAGUCCGGAGGAGGAGUGUGGAAUUCCUGGUGUAGCGGUGAAAUGCGCAGAUAUCAGGAGGAACACCAAUGGCGAAGGCAGCACUCUGGGACGUGACUGACGCUGAGACGCGAAAGCGUGGGGAGCAAACAGG